rnacentral:rRNA from 1 species
CCUACGGGUGGCAGCAGUGGGGAAUAUUGCACAAUGGGCGCAAGCCUGAUGCAGCCAUGCCGCGUGUGUGAAGAAGGCCUUCGGGUUGUAAAGCACUUUCAGCGGGGAGGAAGGCGGUGAGGUUAAUAACCUCAUCGAUUGACGUUACCCGCAGAAGAAGCACCGGCUAACUCCGUGCCAGCAGCCGCGGUAAUACGGAGGGUGCAAGCGUUAAUCGGAAUUACUGGGCGUAAAGCGCACGCAGGCGGUCUGUCAAGUCGGAUGUGAAAUCCCCGGGCUCAACCUGGGAACUGCAUUCGAAACUGGCAGGCUAGAGUCUUGUAGAGGGGGGUAGAAUUCCAGGUGUAGCGGGGAAAUGCGUAGAGAUCUGGAGGAAUACCGGUGGCGAAGGCGGCCCCCUGGACAAAGACUGACGCUCAGGUGCGAAAGCGUGGGGAGCAAACAGGAUAGAUACCCCAGUAGUC